ensembl:snRNA U7 U7 small nuclear RNA
UAGUGUUAAAGAUCUUUUAGAAUUUAUCUAGCAGAUUUUCUAGUAUCCACCAGAAGACCCCC